AUGACUGUCAGUUCUGAUGUGUAUGUCUGUUAUUAUUUUCACUGCAGAAUCACAAUCAUGAAUGCUGUAAAUGCUGUGCAGCUGUUCAUUCUGGUUUGGACCUUUACUGCUGUCUGUCAAGCUGAUGAACAUGUCAUAGUAAGCUGUCAGAAUGUGACUGGAUUUGUGGGGAAAGAAGUAAAUCUCACCUGCAGCGUCUCUCUGCAGCUCCCUCGAUGCUGCAUUAUAAAGUAUAAGUUUCAAUACCCUGAGAUCUUUAAUGACUCUGCAGUCUGUCGUCAAGAUGUUCCUGUGAACUCCUGUGAACAGAGAAACAGUUUCACAUGCAGCUACACUCCAACUAAAGCGAUGACAGAACAAUUCAGAUUCUUUGUGCAAACACAUUGUGGAGUGGGAAAAGCUGAAAUCUUCACUCUUGACGCAGUUUCCUCAGGACAUGUGAACCCAGAAAACCCAUCAGGAACCUCUCCACCAGAGACAGCAGCAGGAUUCAAGGGUACUGUCAUCACUGUGGUUGUGGUUGGUUUCAGCAUCAUCCUCAUCAUCAUGAUGGCGAUCAUUUGCAAAACAAAACCAAACUUCACCAAACUUUGCAGAGGCCAGAACUGGAUGUUACUGAGAGUGCGACAUGAUGAGGACAACGAUCUUCCAGGAAUUGAGAUAUUAUAGCAUUGAGUUUUGUUCAUUGUGACUUCUCAU
ensembl:lncRNA